rnacentral:rRNA from 1 species
AUUGAACGCUGGCGGCAGGCUUAACACAUGCAAGUCGAGCGGGGUGAUGGUGUUUGCGCUAUCACUUAGCGGCGGACGGGUGAGUAAUGCUUAGGAAUCUGCCUAUUAGUGGGGGACAACAUCUCGAAAGGGAUGCUAAUACCGCAUACGUCCUACGGGAGAAAGCAGGGGAUCACUUGUGACCUUGCGCUAAUAGAUGAGCCUAAGUCGGAUUAGCUAGUUGGUGGGGUAAGGGCCUACCAAGGCGACGAUCUGUAGCGGGUCUGAUAGGAUGAUCCGCCACACUGGUGCUGAGACACGGCCCAGACUCCUACGGGGGGCAGCAGUGGGGAAUAUUGGACAAUGGGGGGAACCCUGAUCCAGCCAUGCCGCGUGUGUGAAGAAGGCCUUAUGGUUGUAAAGCACUUUAAGCGAGGAGGAGGCUCUUUUGGUUAAUACCCAAGAUGAGUGGACGUUACUCGCAGAAUAGGCACCGGCUAACUCUGUGCCAGCCGCCGCGGUAA